AUUGAACGCUGGCGGCAGGCCUAACACAUGCAAGUCGAGCGGUAGAGAGAAGCUUGCUUCUCUUGAGAGCGGCGGACGGGUGAGUAAUGCCUAGGAAUCUGCCUGGUAGUGGGGGAUAACGUUCGGAAACGGACGCUAAUACCGCAUACGUCCUACGGGAGAAAGCAGGGGACCUUCGGGCCUUGCGCUAUCAGAUGAGCCUAGGUCGGAUUAGCUAGUUGGUGAGGUAAUGGCUCACCAAGGCGACGAUCCGUAACUGGUCUGAGAGGAUGGUCAGCCACACUGGGACUGAGAUACGGCCCAGACUCCUACGGGUGGCAG
rnacentral:rRNA from 1 species